ACGCUGGCGGCGUGCCUAAUACAUGCAAGUAGAACGCUGAAGAGAGGAGCUUGCUCUUCUUGGAUGAGUUGCGAACGGGUGAGUAACGCGUAGGUAACCUGCCUUGUAGCGGGGGAUAACUAUUGGAAACGAUAGCUAAUACCGCAUAACAAUAGGUGACACAUGUCAUUUAUUUGAAAGGGGCAAUUGCUCCACUACAAGAUGGACCUGCGUUGUAUUAGCUAGUAGGUGAGGUAACGGCUCACCUAGGCGACGAUACAUAGCCGACCUGAGAGGGUGAUCGGCCACACUGGGACUGAGACACGGCCCAGACUCCUACGGGAGGCAGCAGUAGGGAAUCUUCGGCAAUGGGGGCAACCCUGACCGAGCAACGCCGCGUGAGUGAAGAAGGUUUUCGGAUCGUAAAGCUCUGUUGUAAGUCAAGAACGAGUGUGAGAGUGGAAAGUUCACACUGUGACGGUAGCUUACCAGAAAGGGACGGCUAACUACGUGCCAGCAGCCGCGGUAAUACGUAGGUCCCGAGCGUUGUCCGGAUUUAUUGGGCGUAAAGCGAGCGCAGGCGGUUUGAUAAGUCUGAAGUUAAAGGCUGUGGCUCAACCAUAGUUCGCUUUGGAAACUGUCAAACUUGAGUGCAGAAGGGGAGAGUGGAGUUCCAUGUGUAGCGGUGAAAUGCGUAGAUAUAUGGAGGAACACCGGUGGCGAAAGCGGCUCUCUGGUCUGUAACUGACGCUGAGGCUCGAAAGCGUGGGGAGCGAACAGGAUUAGAUACCCUGGUAGUCCACGCCGUAAACGAUGAGUGCUAGGUGUUGGAUCCUUUCCGGGAUUCAGUGCCGCAGCUAACGCAUUAAGCACUCCGCCUGGGGAGUACGACCGCAAGGUUGAAACUCAAAGGAAUUGACGGGGGCCCGCA
rnacentral:rRNA from 1 species